rnacentral:rRNA from 1 species
CGCAUCUGUGCAUGCAGCAUAUCAAUAAGCGGAGGAAAAGAAACUAACAAGGAUUCCCCUAGUAACGGCGAGUGAAGCGGGAAGAGCUCAAAUUUGAAAUCUUAAAGGGUUUCCCUUUACGAAUUGUAGGUUUAAAGAAGUGUUUUCUGUUGAGGUUUUGGUAAAAGUUCUUUGGAAUAGGACAUCAUAGAGGGUGAGAAUCCCGUAUUUGACCUUUACUUUCAACUUUGUGAUACACUUUCAAAGAGUCGGAUUGUUUGGGAAUGCAGUCCAAAAUGGGCUGGUAAAUUUCAUCUAAAGCUAAAUAUUGGCGAGAGACCGAUAGCGAACAAGUACCGUGAGGGAAAGAUGAAAAGAACUUUGUAAAGAGAGUUAAACAGUACGUGAAAUUGUCAAAAGGGAAGCGUUUGACACCAGUGUUGGUUUUCUGAAAAUCAAUUAAAGAACUGUUUAUGCUAAGUUGUUUAGACUUUAUCAGCUAACUGUUUAGUUUUGAGCUUUUCUUUAAUGCACUUUUCAGUUAACAAGUCAACAUCAAUUUCUUUUGCUGUAAAAAAGCUUGAGGAAGGUGGCUUGAGAUUCGUCUUAAGUGUUUAUAGCCUCUUGCCUAUGCAGUCGGAGAGAUUGAGGUCUGCAGCGUAGAUCCUUCGGGGCUAAAUGCAUUUGUGCUAAGUUAUAGCAUUUUAUAGACAACUUGUUGACUAUGAUUUGUCUUGUAGCUUACUCGCUUAUGUUAUUUUACCUACGCUUAGGAUGUUGAGUCAUCACACAUCUCU